CCUCCCAGAAGAGGACAAGGGUGAGUGCCCAUCCCAAGAGUGCUGUACAUGCAUACUGUGAAGAGAAAAUGACCAGUUCAUUCCACCUACUAGGGCAGCGACUGGCUCAUCAACGAUAUGUGGACUUGCAGUCUGGAAUGGAAUGGCAAUCAAUGACUUAAUCUCAUUUAUAACCACGCUUCUCUGUCACAGCGUUGUAUCUGUUUGGUUCAUAUAAAGAAAAAUAUUCCCG
rnacentral:lncRNA from 1 species